GGCAUUCCAACGACCUGUCAAAAUCGAUCCAAUAUGGCCGCUGGGGGCACACAUGGCUGUAUUUACAUUAGUCCUUGUGGUAGUCAAACCAGAGCUAAGUUAUAUUUAAUACAUUUUAUAGUGUUUUUCAGUUCAUAUUGUGGCUCAGUAGUUAGCUGUUAACACAUUUAUAGUAAAUUUUGAUAGCCAGGAUAUAAAUUCUGCGAGAAACAUAAUAUUUGAAGACGUUUUGUUACAUGCCGAUUACGUGUCGGAAGUCGAGCAAAUAAAGACAAUUUAUAUUUUUAUUGUGUCCCUACGACCACAAAUCACCGCUUCUUAACAGAACAAAAUUAAUUGUCCAAGAAACGUCGUUCUCUUUGGAUGGCAGCUAUAAAAAGGGAUGAUUUAAUGUGGUCUAUAAUAAAAAAUCAGAGGGUGUGUAGCAAACACUUUCUAACAGGAAAACCUGUUAGUUUAGAAGAUGAAAAUCAUCCAGACUGAGUUGGUUCCGUCACAAGACAUGGGUCAUAAUUGUACAAAUCUGAGAAAAAGACAGGAUGAUAUUGAGAGAAAACUAAGGGCAGACUAAAGAAGAAAAGUACAAUAUGAAGCCAUUCUUAACACGUCUGAAGCAGAACCUCAUUGUGUGAUUGAAACAGAUGUUCGAAUCAACAGUUUUGGUAUACAAACAUAUAUCACGAUGGAUGACUUAUGCAACAAAUUUGAGCAGCUUAGUUUUGCAACAUUUAAAAUUAGUAAUUUCACCUGAUUGCAGAUUACAUACCAUUUACACAAACGACAGCUCUAAGCAAGUUUAAAAGAUUUGGGUUAUCGUUUUAAAGUGUCUUUUGCUACAGCCUCAACAACAUUUAAAGUAAUCAAGAAUGAUUUAUACAAAAGGUAUAAAACCUUAUAAAUAGAAUGGUCCAAUCCAUCUACGAUGCUCUAAAAAAUAUGACAUAUUGUUUUAAAAUGGCAUUUAGGAAUCGCAUUGUAUUAUUGAUUGUUACUCAAAUAUUUAUUUAUUUAUAACAUUAUAUUGUAAUUCUUAUUUUCACGAGUGUAAAUUACAAAAUUAGCUUAUUGUUUCUAUAUCGUAAUAAACGAAUAUGUACUAUAUACUGUUAUAC
rnacentral:lncRNA from 1 species